rnacentral:tRNA from 1 species
GGGGGGUUAGCUCAGUUGGUAGAGCACCUGCCUUGCAAGCAGGGGGUCAGCGGUUCGAAUCCGCUACUCUCCA